UACGGGGGGGGUAAGCGUUGCUCGGAAUUACUGGGCGUAAAGGGCUCGUAGGCGGCCAACUAAGUCAUACGUGAAAUCCCUCAGCUUAACUGGGGAACUGCGUGUGAUACUGGAUGGCUUGGAUUUGGGAGAGGGAUGCGGAAUUCCAGGUGUAGCGGUGAAAUGCGUAGAUAUCUGGAGGAACACCGGUGGCGAAGGCGGCAUCCUGGACCAAUAUUGACGCUGAGGAGCGAAAGCCAGGGGAGCAAACGGG
rnacentral:rRNA from 1 species